rnacentral:rRNA from 1 species
GAUGAACGCUGGCGGCGUGCUUAACACAUGCAAGUCGAACGAUGAAGCCCAGCUUGCUGGGUGGAUUAGUGGCGAACGGGUGAGUAACACGUGAGUAACCUGCCCUUAACUCUGGGAUAAGCCUGGGAAACUGGGUCUAAUACCGGAUAGGAGCGCCUACCGCAUGGUGGGUGUUGGAAAGAUUUAUCGGUUUUGGAUGGACUCGCGGCCUAUCAGCUUGUUGGUGAGGUAAUGGCUCACCAAGGCGACGACGGGUAGCCGGCCUGAGAGGGUGACCGGCCACACUGGGACUGAGACACGGCCCAGACUCCUACGGGAGGCAGCAGUGGGGAAUAUUGCACAAUGGGCGAAAGCCUGAUGCAGCGACGCCGCGUGAGGGAUGACGGCCUUCGGGUUGUAAACCUCUUUCAGUAGGGAAGAAGCGAAAGUGACGGUACCUGCAGAAGAAGCACCAGCUAACUACGUG